CGUUCUCCUUAAGGUCUAUUAAAUCUUAAUCUCUAGUGUCAUUAGUUCUAGAGGAGUUCGGC
rnacentral:tRNA from 1 species